GGGUCAGUAGGUUGGUCGUGCCACCGGUACGUACUGGUCUCACUGAUUCCUCCUUCCUGAAGAACCGUAAUGCCAUUAACUUGGUGUUGCGGGGAAACAGGACUGUUACUUUGAAAAAAUUAGAGUGUUUAAAGCAAGCUAACGCUUGAAUACAUUAGCAUGGAAUAGUGAAAUAGGACGAUCGAUCCUAUUUUGUUGGUUUCUAGGAUUGACGUA
rnacentral:rRNA from 1 species